CACUGAUGCUGAACUCAGCCAAUGAGAUGGUCUCUUCCUGCAGAACUCCAGCCUGAUGUUGAGGAGAAGGCUGUGCAGCAGAGAAGCUGCUUAGUCUUUUCCUUCUGCUGAACUUUGUUCAUCUGCUGUGUGACUUCAGCACCUGAAACAUGUUCCUUUACCUGUUGGUACUUUUCUCUCACUGCAUAGCUUUGGGCUCCAUGAACAGCAUAAAGCAGGAACGUGCUGAAGAAGCUGUUGCAGAGCGAGGAAACAUCAACCUGACCUGUACAUAUGAUGGUUCUAUCUACAAUAUCCAGUGGUACCGACAGUACCAGAGAUCCAGACCAGAGUUCCUGCUCUACAUCACAGAGGGAGGAUCAGUUCAUCGAGCUGUGUCGGGAUUCUCAGCUCACAUUGACAAAACAGAGAAACGUGCAGAUCUGGAGAUCUCCUCUGCUGCAGUGUCUGACUCUGCUGUGUACUACUGUGCUGUGAGGCCCACAGUGACAGGAAACAGCAAAACUCUGUACAAAAACCUUUGGAGCAAAGACAACAGAAUACUCCACAACAUCCACUAGAGGGAGCCACACACUGUUAAACCUCUGAUUCUUGUGUCAUUGGACUGAUGACAAAGACAACAGAGAAAUGAAGCAGUAAAGAUCAGAGACAGAGACAGAGCUGCUGUGGAAGCACAAAACUAUUUGAUUGGCUGAGCUAUUAAACUGGCCCCGCCCACUGAACUUGAGCUCAUCCAAUGACAUUAUUUGUUGGUCAUUGUGCUGCAGUGGAAGAACAUUGUUCAUGUGCUGUCUGUCUGGCUUUAAUAACUCCAAAGACAUGUUGCUGCACCUCUUUUUGCUUCUAUCUCACAUUAUAGGUGAGUUUAAGAACAGGGAUUAAAGUUUAGUUGAAGCUGCUGCAUUAAGCAGAUAUACAGACUGCAUUUCACUACUUUUCUUCUUUCUUUUUCCAGGACUAACAGCUGGAGACUCAAUCACUCCUCAACAACCUGAAGUCAC